rnacentral:rRNA from 1 species
ACAGAGGGUACAAGCGUUAUUCGGAAUUACUGGGCGUAAAGCGUAUGUAGGUGGGUAGACAAGUCAGGUGUGAAAUCCCGGAGCUCAACUUCGGAACUGCACUUGAAACUGUCUGUCUUGAGCUUGUCAGAGGAUGGUAGAAUUCCUGGUGUAGAGGUGAAAUUCGUAGAUAUCAGGAGGAAUACCUGAGGCGAAGGCGGCCAUCUGGGACAGUGCUGACACUGAGAUACGAGAGCGUGGGUAGCAAACAG